CGGAGGGUGCAAGCGUUAAUCGGAAUUACUGGGCGUAAAGGGUGCGUAGGCGGUUAUAUAAGUUAGAUGUGAAAGCCCUAGGCUUAACCUGGGAACUGCGUUUAAUACUGUAUAGCUAGGGUACUGUAGAGGUUAGUGGAAUUUCCAGUGUAGCGGUGAAAUGCGUAGAUAUUGGAAGGAACACCAGUGGCGAAGGCGACUAAUUGGGCAGAUACUGACGCUGAAGUACGAAAGCGUGGGGAGCAAACAGGAUUAGAUACCCUGGUAGUCCACGCCGUAAACGAUGAGAACUUGCUGUUUGGUGCGUGCAGUGCCAAGUAGCGUAGCUAACGCGUUAAGUUCUCCGCCUGGGGAGUACGGCCGCAAGGCUA
rnacentral:rRNA from 1 species